UACGUAGGCAGCAAGCGUUGUUCGGAAUUACUGGGCGUAAAGAGUGUGUAGGUGGUGCUCUAAGUCUGUUGUGAAAAUCUCCCGGCUCAACUGGGAGGGUGCGGCGGAAACUGGGGCGCUCGAGUAUGGGAGAGGAAAGCGGAAUUCCUGGUGUAGCGGUGAAAUGCGCAGAUAUCAGGAGGAACACCGAUGGCGAAGGCAGGUCUCUGGGCCAGUACUGACGGCUGAGAGCGAAAGCU
rnacentral:rRNA from 1 species